rnacentral:rRNA from 1 species
ACGGAAGGCAGCAGUAGGGAAUAUUGGUCAAUGGGGGAAACCCUGAACCAGCGACGCCGCGUGAGUGAAGAAGUAUUUCGGUAUGUAAAGCUCUAUCAGCAGGGACGAUAAUGACGGUACCUGACUAAGAAGCCCCGGCUAACUACGUGCCAGCAGCCGCGGUAAUACGUAGGGGGCAAGCGUUAUCCGGAUUUACUGGGUGUAAAGGGAGCGUAGGUGGCCAUGCAAGUCAGAUGUGAAAUCCCGGGGCUCAACCCCGGAGCUGCAUUUGAAACUGUAGCCCUUGAGUAUCGGAGAGGCAAGCGGAAUUCCUAGUGUAGCGGUGAAAUGCGUAGAUAUUAGGAGGAACACCAGUGGCGAAGGCGGCUUGCUGGACGACAACUGACGCUGAGGCGCGAAAGCGUGGGGAGCAAACAGGAUUAGAUACCCUGGUA